rnacentral:rRNA from 1 species
UACGAGAGCCUCGAGCGUUAUCCGGAAUUAUUGGGCGUAAAGGGUGCGUAGGUGGUUUUGUUAGUCCUCUGUCAAAUUCCCGAGCUUAACUUGGGAUCCGCAGGGGAGACGGCAAAACUUGAAAGUGCGAGAGGUGUACGGAACUCAUGGUGUAGGGGUGAAAUUCGUAGAUAUUGGGAAGAACACCGGUGGCGAAGGCGGCGCUCUGGACCGAGACUGACGCUGAGGCGCGAAAGCGUGGGGAGCAAACAGG